CCAUGGCUGCAGCAACUUCUCAGUGCCUGGACGGCAGAACACAGUGAAAUGAAUCCCAGAGAAUGAAUUUCCUAAGAGGCUCUUUUUAAAGAUGGGCCCCAGAAGUUUCCUUCUCCAAUGAAAGUUUAUACUUUUGUACCCUGAAAUAGCUCUCCAAACCAUCUCUCCUUGCCCUGGCUCCAAAAGUGGGGCUGGUCCUCGUUCAUGGAAAAGAAGCAGGCAGUGAAAGGUUGGGUGGAUUGGAUCCAUCUGGGAACGUGAAACUUGUUAAACCUCAACAUUUGUAUGACAGAAGGACUUUCAUUUACAGAACCAAAUGUGCAAGAAUGGAUCCUUGGAAUCACUCUGGCGGCCAAAUCAUCUCCUCAGUCCCAGCCACACUUGCACCUUGCCAGUGAUGGGGACAAAAUGGUGGACCCCCAAGAGAGACUGAGAAGGGGAAAAAUGAAGGGAAAAAAAUUUCAGUCAGGUGAGCCGACUUCAUAGUUCUCCUGAAAGACUCGCCAAAACACAAGAGAUGUAAGCAGAAAUGGAAUACUUCACCAGUCCAGAAAUAGAACCACAGAGUAGAAAUGUAAAAGGC